CGGCCGUUGACUUUUAUCAGUGUAGUCCUGGAAUGACUCUUCUAUCACCCAAUCAGAUCUGUGCGACAGUGUAAGCAGAAGGUGCUCACCGAUCAUCUCUGCCGAGGAAGUCUGUGUCCUACGUGAGCAGCUGACUCAGGAGCUGGACAAAGAUCGGCGAGCGAGGAGAAGAGCGGCGGAGCGACAUGUCAGGGCGUGUCCCAUCUGCGUAACACCGAGGAGCCUUUCGCCCGCAGCACACGCAGGGCCCAGACAGAAGACUCCUCUCUCGCUGCAUUUGUGUCAUAACUACAUGAGAAUAAACAAAAAGCAGACUGCUGUCUCAUGAUGAUGACCACACCUCAGACUAAUAAAAACCCUGAACGGUGCAGGGGUAGGCUAAUUGGGGCUGAGUUGCCAUGGUGUGAUUAUAACCGUGAAUGCUAAUAUCGGUGAGUCAGGAAUACUGUACAGUUGUAACAGACAGUUUCAGGUGGAUUAAGUAGAAACACAAACACACGUCCCUCAUGCUACGACAUCAAGCGUGAAACACAAAUAGAGUUUUAGGAGCAUGUCAAUAGGCAUACUUCUCCAUGACUUAACGUUUUCAUUAUGACACUGUUUUCAAACGGCUUUCCUUUGGAAACUGGAACAUCUGU
ensembl:lncRNA